GACAGAGGGUGCAAGCGUUGUUCGGAAUUACUGGGCGUAAAGCGUGUGUAGGCGGCCAUGAAAGUCGGAUGUGAAAGCCCCGGGCUCAACCCGGGAAGUGCACUCGAUACUGCUUGGCUCGAGUCUCGGAGAGGUUGGUGGAAUUCUCGGUGUAGAGGUGAAAUUCGUAGAUAUCGAGAGGAACACCUGAGGCGAAGGCGGGUUGCUAGGCUGACACUGACGCUGAGUGCGCGAAAGCCAGGGGAGCAAACGGG
rnacentral:rRNA from 1 species